CUAAAUCUCCCUGCGUCGGGCACUUUUGUUUGGCUCUGUUGCCAUCGUCCCCUUCCAUCGCCUCUCCCCAUCGCCCUGGAAGUUUCUUUGGAUGCAGACUUCCUCAUUACAAGGCUGGUCCCUUCGGAAAACAGGCCUUUCUGCCUGCCUGGAGUCAUCUGGAGAGAAAUCAAGUGUGAGCACCUCUCCCGCAGAAAGUUCUGUAUGUUAUGUAACACCCUCACUCAGGGCUUCCUCGGGUUACCAGCGUGCUCUCAAUCAGCCAGCCCUCGGCUUUCUGGCUGGGGUGGGGUGGCGGUGGGGUGUCAGUGUGAUGUAAGUGGAGGUGGAGGCUUCAUUCCCAGGGGGCAUCCCCCCCCCCAAGCCCCAGUUCAAGGCCCAGGAACAAAGGGAUAGAAAGGGAACUGAUCUGUCCUUAGCUUUUCCCCUCCACCUGCAACCCCCCCUCCGCCUGCAUCUCCCCCACUUGCCCACUGACAGGGCCUCCUCUGAGAAACAGAGGAAAGCCUGUGGGCUCAGGUACCCAGGAAACACCCCCACCAUUGACACUCAGAAACCCCAUUUGAGGGGCAGGCUGCAGGCGGGGCAGGGCCACUACCUCUGCUCCCAAGUCUGGACCCAAGGCUACUUGCCUAGCAUCCUUUUCUUAUUAAAAACAUCCAGGACAACUAUUAAAUAGUUCUUGGGAGAGUUAAAGGCAUUGCUCCAGUUUGAAACAUUUCUAAAGCCCCGUUUGGAAGAAAUCUUGGAGGAGGACAAAAUGUCAUCAGUAGGCUUGGCUUCGCAAGUCUGAAAGGUUUCUCCCCACCCCCCAGAUGUUAAUGAAAAAUAGUUUGGAGAUGUUGUUUUGUUCACUGAUAGGUACCUCCCUGUUGUAGCCUACAGAUUCUCAAGGCCAAGCCAGUAAGGCAUUAUUUUCAUUUUGCUAGCUUCUGGGUGAUACUAUACUUUCCGAUUGAAUCUACUUAAUUUAGUUUAUUUAAAAAAAAAAACAAAAACAAAAAAACAAUGCUGCUGCAGAAUUUUCCAUCUUGGAAAUGUAAGUGAAAAACAGAGUUUCUCUCACCCAGGUUCCUAUAGGGGCAGAGUGGAAGGACCCUGGCGGGGCUCCCCUUUAUGCCUCGAAUUUGCCCCCCCUGAAGCCAGGGGACUGAAGGUGGUAGGUACUGGCACCUCUUACUUCAUUGCUGGUGCAGGGCGCGUCCUUUGAAAGGAAUCUCUAUUCUGUUUCAGUGCAAGGUUCCAGUCGACUAAAUGAGCUUGCCUUCUGCCAGGAGUAAGGCAGUCCUGCAAGACAGAACCAAAGUGCCAUUCCCCAG
rnacentral:lncRNA from 1 species